GCAGCCCCACGGCGCGGAGGACAAUCAGGCUGGCGCCACAGUGAGCGGGGCAUGGAGGGGCCUGCCUAACUGGGACCCGUGGCCCGGCGUCUUCUGGCAGCGACGCGGGUCCUGCGCACGCUGCGGGGCCGCAGCCGCCGGGCGGUGGGCGCCCGAGGGGCCAGGAGGCGAGCCGGGGCCCCCAGGCGGGUGUGGGCAUCGUGUCCACAAGCAGCGUCCCCGAGGCCGCGCUCGGGGCCGUGAUGACCGGUGAAGCUGCGCUGCGACAGCGCGGCCGACUUCUUCCCUGUGUCCAGUAGUGGUCUGGAGGGUUAUUUGUCAAGGCGUAAAGAACUCUACCACUCUUAAGACAGUAAACUUCACGGGGUGUAAUCUGACGUGGCAGGGAGCAGAUCACAUGGCCAAGAUCUUAAAGGUUCUUAUUAGUCAUCAGUUUUAUACACGUCAGUGUAUACAUGUCAAUCCCAAUCGCCCAAUUCAGCACACCACCAUCCCCACGCCACCGUGGUUAGGACUCUUCCACACGUGAGAAAAUGAGAGUUGUCUAUAUGUUAAAUCUGUAUGGACUUCGCAAGUGACCUUUUGUCUUUCAUCGAAAGCACUUGACCUGCAGCAGUGUGGCCUCACCAGUGAAGGAGCAAAGGCUUUACUAAAGGCCCUUGAAAGCAACAGAACUCUGGUCGUUUUGGAUAUAAGAAAAAAAUCCACUUGUUGAUCAUUCUGUGAUGAAAGCAGUUAUCCAAAAAGUUCUCCAGAUGGAAGGAGUGCCAAGUCAGAGGCUCAAAGAUUUGGAAAGAGAUAGUUUAACAGAAAAGAUUUGUCCUUGGAGAACAUGCUUUCAGUCGGGAAGUGAAUGGAUGUCUAGAAAACGGGAGCCAGCCAAGUGGUGAGGAGCGCAGAGUGGAAAUAGCAGAGAAAGAGAAGUCCCCCAAAACUGUUUCCAAACUUUGCAUGCCCAGGAGAAGCAAGUCCAAUGGAGAAACAAAAUCUGAAGUCUCAUGGAGCCCCAGGAUUACAAGGCAAACUACCAGGCAGACCACCAUCACAUCUCAUUUCACAAGGGGGUCAGUAUAUAAUGAAUGGACAGCCCCCAUUUUAGGGGCCAACUGUUUUUGGUAAAACACAUAUAGAAUUAGUAGGAUGUAACUUAGUAAUUCUGACUUCCACAUUGCUUAGGUUUUCCUUUUGAUAUUCUGUUUUUAGACAUUCAUGAACAGCAUUUCUGAAGACCUCAUCCAUUUUUACUCUUAGCAUAGGAAACUUCAAAUGUACAUACACAAAAUACCAAGGAUAGUAAAAUGAACCCCUGUGUACCUAUCACCCAGUAUCAACAGUUAAUAGCUCCUGGCUGUUGUUUCGUCUAUACCCCCAUAUGCUCCAAGUGAAAACUAUUCCAAAUGAAUUACAACUCCAUACACACCCAUGUCCCCCCAGUUGGAUUACUUUGAAACAAAUCGGACAUGUCAUCUUAUCCACAAAUACGAUAUUUCUAGAUGACAAGGUCUCUUUCUCUGACAAGUUUUUUAUUCAUAUUUUGCUAUAAUUGCUUACAUCUAGCAAACAGUCUUUUGAAGAAGACAAAACAUGCCUUACAAAGUGUAACAGUUCCUUACGAACAAAUAUAUAGCAGUGUUCAUACCUCCCCUUGUGUAACAGAGUUUGGUUGAUUUGUUCCUUAAGCCUUUCAAGUGAUAGAUUCCUUAUUUUCUUGCCAUUUAUUUAAAGAAAAGAGGUCUUUUGUCUAAUAGCUUCUAGGUCUGGCUGACUGCAUCGUUUCGGUGGUGAAUGUGUUCCCUUGUGUCCAGUUUUCUGUCAACUGGUAGUUAGGUCUAGAGUCCUGAUCAGAUUCCAGCUUUGUUUUGUGCGACUUCAUUGACGGUAUGGGGCUGUCCAUCAGAGACAUGUAAUGUCUCUUCGGUGAUUCUAGCAGCCGUUGAUCAAAGUCUAGAUCCAUUAUUUCUUAGGGUUUGCAAAACGGUGGUAUUCUAAACCUGUCAUCCAAAGAAACAUUAAGCUCGAAGCUUGUUUUAG